GAUGAACGCUGGCGGCGUGCCUAAUACAUGCAAGUCGAGCGAACAGACGCGGAGCUUGCUCCUCUGACGUUAGCGGCGGACGGAAGAGGAACAUAAGGAUCACCUACCUAUAAGACUAGGAUAGCUUCGGGAAACCGGUGCUAAUACCGGAUCAUAUAUUGAACCGCAUGGUUCAAUAGUGACAGCCGGUUUUGCUGUCACCUCUAGAUGGAUCCGCGCCGCAUUAGCUAGUUGGUAAGGUAACGGCUUAGCAAGGCGACGAUGCGUGGCCGACCUGCGAAGGUGAUGCGGCACAGUGGGGCUGAGACGCGGUCCAGACUCCUACGGGAGGCAGCAGUAGGGAAGCGUCGGCGAAGGGCGGAAGCUUGACGGAGCGACGCCGGCUGAGUGAUGAAGGGCCGCGGAUCGGAUAACGCUGUUAUUAGUGAAGAACGAUUUUGUAAGUAACUAAGCACGUCUUGACGGUACCUAAUCAGAAAGCCACGGCUAACUACGUG
rnacentral:rRNA from 1 species